AUAUGUAUUAAGCAUUUACUACAUGCCCAGCACCAGCUAAGGAUACAGUAUAAAAAGCAUAGCCAAGGCUGCACAACUAUUCUAAUUGUAGUAGGAUAAAAGCUACAAAAGGACAGUGUGCAAUGCAAACUAGAGGAUGAACUGGCAAAUUUGUCCCAAGAAGGAUUGACCAGAGAGCCUCAUAUGCACAACAAGGAUAAUAAGACCAGGACACUAAGGAUUUACUGGCGAGGAUGAAUCUAUGGUUAUGAAGUACUUUCCAUGGUAUCCAACAUGUCCACCACGCCCAGGCAACUCUGUCAUACCAAAAUUUCUAAAGUUCCUGUGUCAUACUGCAUGGAACUCUCCUGCUCUUUCAGCCUUAGGUCAAAUGCAUGGCAAAGGAAUCCACUAC